rnacentral:piRNA from 1 species
UGACAAGCAUGUCCUGUACUGCCUAAAAGU